UAAUGCAAUGACUGUACGUCGCUCUGGACAAGAGCGUCUGCUAAAUGACCAAAA
rfam:Salmo salar isolate Sally breed double haploid chromosome ssa01, whole genome shotgun sequence.